rnacentral:tRNA from 1 species
GCAUUGGUAGUUUAGUGGUAGAAUUCUCGCCUUCCAUGUGGGAGACCUGAGUUCAAUUCCCAGCCAAUGCG